UACGUAGGGGACAAGCGUUGUCCGGAUUUACUGGGCGUAAAGAGCGCGCAGGCGGUCGUUCAAGUCGCGUGUGAAAGCCCCCGGCUCAACUGGGGAGGGUCACUCGAUACUGAUCGACUCGAAGGCAGGAGAGGGAAGUGGAAUUCCCGGUGUAGUGGUGAAAUGCGUAGAUAUCGGGAGGAACACCAGUGGCGAAGGCGGGUCUCUGGGCCGAUACUGACGCUGAGGAGCGAAAGCGUGGGGAGCGAACAGG
rnacentral:rRNA from 1 species